UCUUAAAGUCUACAUAGAAAAUAUAAAUAGUAAUUUAAAGAGACUUAACUGAAGAGACAGUGGCUGACAGUGGGGUUAUGUUCUGUUGGGUUAUUUAAACAAACUAUUUGAAUUGAUAUACCUUAUCUCUUGUGCCCAUUACUCAGUUUUUUUCGAAAUAAGAUGAAGCUGCUUUAUACGGUGGCCCUGAAGGACAAACGACACCAACAAAAAGGAAAACACAACGACAUUAACAAAAACACAACAACAAAAAGGAAAACACAACAACAUUAACUACUAAAAGAAAGGGUAGUUUACGGCUUGGGCGGACUUCAUUUAGAAGAGUGACAAAGAUGUAUUGCCCUUAUUAUGGCAAAAAAGUCCCUGAAGACUUCGAACGACCUAACUUUUGCUGUGGUUGUGGCAAGGGGCUUCAUGAGGUGCUUGUCGUUGAACCCACCAACGCACCGCCUUCAGUAUCACAGAAUCCUCCAUCGAAUCCAACCCCAUUGAUACAAACCUUCCAGGAAUACAGGAAGAAAAAGGCAGAGGAAAGGCAAAAAUUUUGCUUUGGUAAAAUGGGGACAAAGAAAAAGGAAAAGAGGAAUGUUCAGAACAAGGACCUGUGUCACUGGAGGAGGUGUUCAUGUUUUCCACAGGCCUGAAGUCAAUCCCACCUGCAGGAAUGACACCCCAUCCAUGCAUCACAUUUACACAGGAGUCCAUGUAUCACUUAGCGAAUACAUGUGCCAACACAAUCACACUUCCACUCUUGCAAACAUACAGUCUUUUCAAAGCAAAUAUGGACUUCGGUAUUCUAAACUCACCAGGUUUUGGAAGUCUCUGAAAAGUGUGGAAGACAAAAUAAGUUAUAGGGACAAGAAAGUUCUAAGUUCAGCCUGGCUAGGUCUUUUGUGUCAAACUAAAGUUUUGAGAACUUUGAGAAGGAGUAAAGUCAGUUUACUUCAUUUUCUAGUCAACACUCCACUGUUUCAAGUGAGUGGGGAAAAAGGCAAGGUUUGCAUUGAUCAUGCUGUUUCAUAUGUUCUUUAUUGUACUUAACAGUUGCAACAAACAAGUUGGUCAACAACAGAUCGUGUUCUGGGUUGUGGUGAAUUGAGUCCAUUUUUGUAUAUUGGUCCGUACUUAUAGCCCAGCUAUUUCCUUCAGAGUAAUGUAUAGUUCUGAGGCUGACUCCCAAUCAUGUGGCUGCUGUAAUCCAUGUUGUUCCACUGCCUGUUGUAAAUAAUCCUGAAUGUCAGGAUCACUGCAUAGAUGAAUAGUUUGUCUCGACUCAGGAAACCUGUAGUUCCCCGUCUUCAACA